rnacentral:rRNA from 1 species
GACGAACGCUGGCGGCGUGCUUAACACAUGCAAGUCGAACGGAAAGGCCCUGCUCUUGUGGGGUGCUCGAGUGGCGAACGGGGGAGUAACACGUGAGUAACCUGCCCUUGACUUAGGGAUAACUUCAGGAAACUGGGGCUAAUACCGGAUAGGAGCUCCUGCUGCAUGGUGGGGGUUGGAAAGUUUCGGCGGUUGGGGAUGGACUCGCGGCUUAUCAGCUGGUUGGUGGGGUAGUGGCGUACCAAGGCUUCGACGGGUAGCCGGCCUGAGAGGGUGGCCGGCCACAUUGGGACUGAGAUACGGCGCAGACGCCUACGGGAGGCAGCAGUGGGGAAUAUUGCACAAUGAGCGGAAGCAUGAUGCAGCAACGCCGCGUGCGGGAUGACGGCCUUCGGGUUGUAAACCGCUUUCGCCUGUGACGAAGCGUGAGUGACGGUAAUGGGUAAAGAAGCACCGGCUAACUACGUG